GUACUCGCUUCGGCGGUACAAAAACUAAAAUUGGAACGAUACAGAGAAGAUUAGCAAAAUCGUGAAGCGUUCCAUGUUUUU
rnacentral:snRNA from 1 species